UCGAAACGAGCUUUCAUUUCUCCAGGGCGAAGAAGAAGUUUGAUGCGCUUCUCGGAUGCUUCAAUGGUAGUUUCGAAAUCACGAUUGGUUUCCUUCUACCCUUGUAAUUCAGCCAUGAUUGUUAGGGUUGGCCGAUCAUCUCCGCUUCCUGCCGGUUCUUUCGGCUUCCAUUUAGUGGCCGAAACAGGCUGGGCCACUUGCCGUCGAGCUAAGCAAUCUAUACGCUAACUUCAACGUUUCUGAGACUUUGAAAGUGCAGUAUACAUGCCGAUGGGAGAAUUGUAGCUAUACCAA
rnacentral:lncRNA from 1 species